rnacentral:SRP_RNA from 1 species
GCCGGGUGCGGUGGCAUGUGCCUGUAAUCCAAGUCACUGGGAGGCUGAGGUUGGUGGAUCAAGUGAGCUGAGGAGCUCUGGGCUGCAGCACACUAUGUUGAACGGGUGUCCACGCUAAGUUCGGUAUCGAUAUGGUGUUCCAGGGGGAGCCCGGGACCACCAGGUUGUCUAAGGAGGGGUGAACCGGCCCAGGUCGGAAACGAAGCAGGUCAAAUCCCCCGUGCUGUCCAGUAGUUGGAUAAUACCUGUGAGUAGAUGCUGCAGUGCAGCCUUGGCGAAACAUCGAGACCUAAUCUUUC